GACGAACGCUGGCGGCGUGCUUAACACAUGCAAGUCGAACGGAUCAUCCCAGCUUGCUGGGGUGGUUAGUGGCGAACGGGUGAGUAACACGUGAGCAACCUGCCCCUGACUCUGGGAUAACUCCGGGAAACCGGGGCUAAUACCGGAUAUGACCUCGCAUCGCAUGGUGUGUGGUGGAAAGUUCUUCGGUUGGGGAUGGGCUCGCGGCCUAUCAGCUUGUUGGUGGGGUGAUGGCCUACCAAGGCGACGACGGGUAGCCGGCCUGAGAGGGUGACCGGCCACACUGGGACUGAGACACGGCCCAGACUCCUACGGGAGGCAGCAGUGGGGAAUAUUGCGCAAUGGGCGGAAGCCUGACGCAGCGACGCCGCGUGAGGGAUGACGGCCUUCGGGUUGUAAACCUCUUUCAGCAGGGAAGAAGCUUCACGGUGACGGUACCUGCAGAAGAAGCACCGGCUAACUACGUGCCAGCCGCCGCCGUAACAC
rnacentral:rRNA from 1 species